rnacentral:RNase_P_RNA from 1 species
UGGGCGUCUGCUUGCUCUUUGAGUGAGAGGAAAGUCCGGACACUACAGAGCAAGACUCCUUGUGAAAGCAGGGGCACGGUAAGGAAACUUGCCGUGACGGAAAGUGUCGCAGAAAAUAUACCGCCCGGAGCUUGUUGAAGGGUAAGGGUGAAAAGGGGAGGUAAGAGCUCACCGCUUCAGAGGUAACGAUGAAGGCAGGACAAACCCAGUCUGGUGCAAGGCAAAAUAGGGGAUCGGGCGGCUCGUCUGAUGAUCCCGGGUAUGCCGCAUCCCGCUAUUGGCGGGAAUCUUCUUCGGGAGAUAGAUAAAUGGACGCACAGCAAUCUGCACUGCAGAAAGCGGACAAAAUCCGGCUUACAGCA